AUUGAACGCUGGCGGCAGGCCUAACACAUGCAAGUCGAACGAGUGGCGGACGGGUGAGUAAUGUCUGGGAAACUGCCUGAUGGAGGGGGAUAACUACUGGAAACGGUAGCUAAUACCGCAUACCAUCGGAUGUGCCCAUAUGGGAUUAGCUGGUUGGUGGGGUAACGGCUCACCAAGGCGACGAUCCCUAGCUGGUCUGAGAGGAUGACCAGCCACACUGGAACUGAGACACGGUCCAGACUCCUACGGGAGGCAGCAGUGGGGAAUAUUGCACAAUGGGCGCAAGCCUGAUGCAGCCAGGCCGCGUGUAUGAAGAAGGCCUUAGGGUUGUAAAGUACUUUCAGCGGGGAGGCGUUACCCGCAGAAGAAGCACCGGCUAACUCCGUGCCAGCAGCCGCGGUAAUAC
rnacentral:rRNA from 1 species